ACGCCUAACACAUGCAAGUCGAACGAAGUAGCAAUACUUAGUGGCAGACGGGUGAGUAACAUGUAGGUAUCUGCCCUUUGGCCUGGAAUAACACGAGGAAACUUGUGCUAAUACUGGAUAAGUCUUUACGGAGAAAGCUUUAUGCACCAUUGGAUGAGCCUGCACUUGAUUAGUUUGUUGGUGGGGUAAUGGCCUACCAAGACUGUGAUCAAUAGCUGAUUUGAGAGGAUGAUCAGCCACAUUGGGACUGAGACACGGCCCAAACUCCUACGGGAGGCAGCAGUGGGGAAUCUUGCACAAUGGAGGAAACUCUGAUGCAGCGAUGCCGCGUGAGUGAAGAAGGCCUUUGGGUUGUAAAGCUCUUUCGUCGGGGAAGAAAAUGACUGUACCCGAAUAAGAAGGUCCGGCUAACUUCGUGCCAGCAGCCGCGGUAAUACGAAGGGACCUAGCGUAGUUCGGAAUUACUGGGCUUAAAGAGUUCGUAGGUGGUUGAAAAAGUUGGUGGUGAAAUCCCAGAGCUUAACUCUGGAACUGCCAUCAAAACUUUUCAGCUAGAGUAUGAUAGAGGAAAGCAGAAUUUCUAGUGUAGAGGUGAAAUUCGUAGAUAUUAGAAAGAAUACCAAUUGCGAAGGCAGCUUUCUGGAUCAUUACUGACACUGAGGAACGAAAGCAUGGGUAGCGAAGAGGAUUAGAUACCCUCGUAGUCCAUGCCGUAAACGAUGUGUGUUAGACGUUGGAAAUUUAUUUUCAGUGUCGCAGCGAAAGCGAUAAACACACCGCCUGGGGAG
rnacentral:rRNA from 1 species